rnacentral:rRNA from 1 species
AACGAACGCUGGCGGCGCGCCUAAUACAUGCAAGUCGAGCGAGAAGACGUAGCAAUACGUUUGUAAAGCGGCGAACGGGUGAGGAAUACAUGGGUAACCUACCCUCGAGUGGGGAAUAACUAGCCGAAAGGUUAGCUAAUACCGCAUACGACUCUCGGUCUGCGGAUCGAGAGGGAAAGCGAUACCGUGGGUAUCGCGCUCCUGGAUGGGCUCAUGUCCUAUCAGCUUGUUGGUGAGGUAACGGCUCACCAAGGCUUCGACGGGUAGCUGGUCUGAGAGGACGAUCAGCCACACUGGCACUGCGACACGGGCCAGACUCCUACGGGAGGCAGCAGUAAGGAAUAUUGCGCAAUGGGCGACAGCCUGACGCAGCGACGCCGCGUGGGGGAUGAAGGUCUUCGGAUUGUAAACCCCUUUCGGCAGGGAAGAUGGAGCGGGUAACCGCUCGGACGGUACCUGCAGAAGCAGCCACGGCUAACUUCGUGCCAGCAGCCGCCGUAA